GAUGAACGCUGGCGGCGUGCCUAAUACAUGCAAGUCGAGCGAACGGACGAGAAGCUUGCUUCUCUGAUGUUAGCGGCGGACGGGUGAGUAACACGUGGAUAACCUACCUAUAAGACUGGGAUAACUUCGGGAAACCGGAGCUAAUACCGGAUAAUAUUUUGAAUCGCAUGGUUCAAAAGUGAAAGACGGUCUUGCUGUCACUUAUAGAUGGAUCCGCGCUGCAUUAGCUAGUUGGUAAGGUAACGGCUUACCAAGGCAACGAUGCAUAGCCGACCUGAGAGAGUGGUCGGCCACACGGGAACUGAGACACGGUCCAGACUCCUACGGGAGGCAGCAGUAGGGAAUCUGCCGCAAUGGGCGAAAGCCUGACGGAGCAACGCCGCGUGAGUGAUGAAGGUCUUCGGAGCGGAAAACUCUGUUAUUAGGGAAGAACAUAUGUGUAAGUAACUGUGCACAGCUUGACGGUACCUAAUCAGAAAGCCACGGCUAACUACGUG
rnacentral:rRNA from 1 species